rnacentral:rRNA from 1 species
GAUGAACGCUGGCGGCGUGCCUAAUACAUGCAAGUCGAGCGAACAGACGAGGAGCUUGCUCCUCUGACGUUAGCGGCGGACGGGUGAGUAACACGUGGAUAACCUACCUAUAAGACUGGGAUAACUUCGGGAAACCGGAGCUAAUACCGGAUAAUAUAUUGAACCGCAUGGUUCAAUAGUGAAAGACGGUUUUGCUGUCACUUAUAGAUGGAUCCGCGCCGCAUUAGCUAGUUGGUAAGGUAACGGCUUACCAAGGCAACGAUGCGUAGCCGACCUGAGAGAGUGAUCGGCCACACUGGAACUGAGACACGGUCCAGACUCCUACGGGAGGCAGCAGUAGGGAAUCUUCCGCAAUGGGCGAAAGCUUGACGGAGCAACACCGCGUGAGUGAUGAAGGUCUUCGGAUCGUAAAACUCUGUUAUUAGGGAAGAACAAAUGUGUAAGUAACUAUGCACGUCUUGACGGUACCUAAUCAGAAAGCCACGGCUAACUACGUG